AUUGAUCACAACCAGUUACAGAU
rnacentral:piRNA from 1 species